rnacentral:rRNA from 1 species
UACGGGGGGGGCAAGCGUUGUUCGGAAUUACUGGGCGUAAAGCGCUUGUAGGCGGUCCACCAAGUUUGGGGUGACAGUUGCCGACUUAAUCGGCAAAGUGCCUCAAAGACUGGCGGACUUGAGGGCCACAGAGGGACAUGGAACUCCAGGUGUAGUGGUGAAAUGCGUAGAUAUGUGGAGGAAUACCGAUGGCGAAGGCAGCCCCCUGGGCUAAGAUUGACGCUCAUGCACGAAAGCGUGGGGAGCAAACAGG